rnacentral:rRNA from 1 species
AUGGGCGACCACCACCACCCGCGGGCCCGCCCCGCCGCCGGCGACCUGCGCCCGCCGGAGCCGCCGCUCGACCCGCUCGAGUUCCUCUCCCGCUCCUGGAGCGCCUCCGCCGUCGACGUGCCCCGCCCGCGCCCGCCGUCGCCGGCGCCGCUCCUCGCCGCGCCCAUCGCCGAGGACCCCGCCUGCUGCGAGCUCGACGACGGCGCGGCCACGGCCGGCAGCUCCUUCUCCUUCGCCUCCGCCGCCACCUCGCAGUUCAUCAUGGAGCGGAUCCUGGCGCAGUCGGAAGUGGCGCCCCUCACAACCGGACGGCUCUCCCACAGCAGCGGCCCGCUCAACGGCGGCGGCUCGCUCACCGACAGCCCGCCGGUCUCGCCGGAGAUUGACGACUCGCAGUACUGCAGGGCGGGCACGCCGAAGCCACAGGCGUACCGAGGAGGCAGCAAGACGGUCGGCCGGUGGCUCAAGGACAGGAAGGAGAAGAAGAAAGAGGAGACGCGAGCGCACAACGCGCAGGUCCAUGCCGCUGUUUCGGUCGCGGCGGUGGCUGCUGCGGUUGCGGCCGUUGCUGCUGCCACCGCUGCGGCCUCAAGCACCGGCAAGGAUGAUCGCGCGGCCCGCACCGACAUGGCCAUGGCCUCCGCGGCGACGCUCGUGGCCGCGCAAUGCGUCGAGGCCGCGGAGUCCUUGGGGGCCGAGCGCGAGCAUUUGGAGGCGGUUGUUAGCUCGGCGGUGAAUGUCAGGACGCCUGGCGACAUCGUCACGGUCACAGCUGCUGCUGCUACUGCAUUGAGAGGUGCAGCCACAUUGAGGGCGAGGGCUCUGAAGGAGGUGUGGAACAUAGCGGCGGUGAUCCCGGUCGAGAAGGGGACGAUGGGAGGAGGAGGUGCAGGAGGAGGGCACCAUCACAAGCAGAUUGUGCAAAAGCAGCAGCAUCGCAAGCUGGAGAGCAACGGCAGCAGCAUCAGCGAUCUUUCGCUAGAGGAGGAGAACAACUUCCUGGGCGUGUGCAGCCAAGAACUUCUUGUUCGCGGCACCGAGCUCCUUAAACGCACGCGGAAAGGCGCACUGCAUUGGAAGGUCGUAUCGGUGUACAUCAACCGAAUGGGCCUGGUCUCUCUGAAAAUGAAGAGCCGGCAUGUCGCAGGGACAAUCACCAAGAAGAAGAAAGGUGUGGUGAUCGACGUGUGCAAGGACGUGGCGGCGUGGCCCGGGCGGCACCUGCUGGAGGACGGCGAGCACCGGCGCUACUUCGGGCUGAGGACGGCGGACCACCGGGUGAUCGAGUUCGAGUGCACCAGCCAGAGGGAGUAUGAGCUGUGGACCAAGGGCGUGGCCCGCCUCCUCAGCAUCGCCGGCGAGCGGAAGCGUCCCCUGUGA